ACGGUCAGGGUAAAAACCACUCAAAAUCAAUUCCAAAACCACCUUAGGGGGAAAUUCAUCCGGUUUUAAAGAUUUUGAUGGGCUGAUUGAUUCGGUAUUAGAAUUGAGGGAGCAACAGGCCUAGUGGACCAGAACUAGCUUGGGCCUGGCUAAGCUAAGCCCAAAGUUGGAGGCUCGGACGGAAAAGCCACUACAGUCCGUCCGUCCUCCCUCCCUCCCCAAGAAAAGAAAACUCCGUCCCAAGAAGAAACUCGCCGCCGUCUCCUCUCCUCUCUACUAGUACGUACUUGGUUCCCAAGAAGAAACACCACCAAGCACCCACCCCGUGUAGUAGAAAUAGAAAAAGUGCUUCGAAUUCCGAUCCGCAUCCGCCGACACGAUGUUUCUCACGAGGACGGAGUACGACCGUGGGGUCAACACCUUCUCCCCGGAGGGGCGGCUGUUCCAGGUCGAGUACGCCAUUGAGGCCAUCAAGUUGGGCUCCACCGCAAUCGGCUUGAUGACUAAGGAUGGUGUUGUACUGGCUGUUGAGAAACGUGUCACCUCACCGCUGCUGGAACCAAGCAGUGUGGAGAAAAUCAUGGAAAUUGAUGAGCAUGUCGGCUGUGCCAUGAGUGGCCUUAUUGCUGACGCCAGAACACUGGUUGAGCAUGCUCGUGUUGAGACUCAGAAUCAUAGGUUCUCAUAUGGGGAGCCAAUGACAGUAGAGUCUACCACACAAGCUAUCUGUGACUUGGCUUUGCGCUUUGGUGAAGGUGAUGAAGAAUCAAUGUCACGGCCAUUUGGAGUCUCUCUCCUUAUUGCUGGUCAUGAUGAAAAUGGACCCAGCUUGUACUACACAGACCCGUCGGGGACCUUCUGGCAGUGCAAUGCCAAGGCAAUUGGGUCGGGCUCUGAAGGAGCUGAUAGCUCAUUACAAGAUCAGUACAACAAGGAACUGACCAUCGCUGAGGCAGAGACCAUAGCCCUUUCUAUCCUGAAGCAGGUUAUGGAAGAAAAGGUGACCCCGAACAACGUUGACAUUGCGAAGGUCUCCCCUAGCUACCACCUCUACACCCCUGCAGAGGUUGAAGCGGUCAUCGCGAGGUUGUGAAGGAUUGCCACUUUGUGAGACAGCCUCUUGUAUUCCCAUGAACCCUAUAAAGCACAAUGAACGUAUGAACUCUGUUGUGGGUUUGGGUUGUCUGCCUACUGUUGAAGGGAUAUUAGUGCCUGCUUGGGCGUUGCAUCUGAUUCUCAUCUCCCAGCCCAGUCAUUUGUUUGUACUCCCUUUGUUCCGAUUUAUUUGUUGUUGGGGGAUUUUAGUACAUUUUCCGUUACGUUACAAGUUAUCUUCGUUUUCCCAAAUUGCCCUCCCUCUUGCACAGCCACUCGCUCUCUCCCCACCCGCUCGCUCGCUGGCCAGUCGCUCAAUCUCUUCGCCGCCUCCCUCUCCCUCUCGUCAGUGUCCUCCUCACCGCCGCCUUGCUCCUCACCGCCCCGAUUUGUACCCCUAACCCUAGCAACCCGCCUGCUAGCUCUUGGUCAAAGGCUCGAUCUGUGGGCGGUGGUGCUCGAUCCGUGCUGGAGCAGCGGGAGAAGGACGGCGGUGCAGCGGGCUUCUAUUCUUCGCUGCUGUCGACAAGCAGCCGCGGCCUGUUGUCCCGCGCGCCCUCGUCAGUGGCCGCUACAGCGGGUUUCUAUUCUUCCCUGCUGUCGAGAAGCAGCCGCGGCCCGCGCGCCCUCGUCCGUGGCCGCUACCCGAGCUGCCCUCGAGGUGUCGCCGACGACCUUGAGGAGGAAGGAGGAGUGCUUGGGCCGGCGCUUCGUCUCCUCCACCCGGCGCCACAUGGCCGCCACGCGCUCCUCGGUGGCCCUCUAAUCCCACCUCCAUGGCUAACAUCGUGCUGCUGCCGUCUUCAUCUUCGUGGUCGUCCUUGGCGCGCUUGCCUUCGGUGCCGCUGCUUCGACGGACGAUGUGGUGCAGGAGGUGCGUCUGGUCGCGGAGGAAGGAGGUGUGCGUCUGACUGAAGCAGAGGGAGGACACCGCCUGCGCUGGAGCACCGGAGAAGCGUCACCGUCGUUGUCCUCUCCAUGUCCCGUGUUAGGAGAAACGAUUUCUGCCUUCAUCAAUUGUUGAGCAACAAGGACAGUGAUCAAGCAAGCAGUGAGUGGAUGAAUCAUCUGGUAAGGGAGUGCGCAGGGCUUCAGUCAAUUGGUAAGCAAUUUCUGUUGAUGCUGCCGUGAGGUUAAUGUGUACACAUGGAAAGAUUGACCAAACUGCUGGAAAGAGAUAGGAGUAAGUUGGAAAGGAAGGAUUAACCUCUGCCGGUAUUCAUGGAUAACUCUUGGGAAGAUAACAUUAAGAACUCAUUUGAGCUCUUUGUUCUUCCCAUAAAAUCAGAAGGUUCUGUUGAUGCUGCCGUGAGGUUAAUGUGUACACAUGGAAAGAUUGACCAAACUGCUGGAAAGAGAUAGGAGUAAGUUGGAAAGGAAGGAUUAACCUCUGCCGGUAUUCAUGGAUAACUCUUGGGAAGAUAACAUUAAGAACUCAUUUGAGCUCUUUGUUCUUCCCAUAAAAUCAGAAGGCAGAUGUAAUUCUUUCUUUCCACACUCGAUUCCUUCAUCAGUGUCGAUGAAUUAUAUAACUCCAUAUUCUGUAUGUACAUAUAAAUGCAGUUAGUGCUUCCUAAAUUCAGUAUAUUUUGAGUGUGGAGUAGAAGUGUAAUGAGUACUCCAGUAUAUAGUGUAUUUUGGAUUACACUAGAUAUAAAAUCAGGCCUUCAGUACACUAGUUCACCAGCUAGUGUUUCAGUACUUCGUUCUGCAGGAUUACUUACUCCUACAGGUCUGCAGGAUUAUUUUGGGUGCUACUGAAUUUAUAGUGCAUAUAAAUUUAUUGAUCUCAAAUGGUGUAUUGACCUCAUUCAUCAGGAUACAUCGUUUUUUUAGAAAGUUCUUUAAAUAUCCAAGUAUUGAUCUCAAAUGGUGUGUUGAAUUUGUUUCCAUUGACUCACAGAAAUUUUAGGCAUGUUUGCCAUUGGACAAAUGGUGUAUAACAAUGAUCAUCAUCUCUAAAUUGGAUAAUUGGACAACAUCAGCAGGAGGACAGCAACAACAACAUUUUCUCAUGCAUUACAGACUAUUGUACCUAAAAGCUUCGAUGAAUUCUCCCAAUUCUACUGUAAGGCGAAAACUGAUAAGAAUUGGGAGCAGCGAGGAGUACCUGGCGAGGACUAGGCGGGGGAGUAGCGAGGACCGGGCUGGGCAGCGUGGUUGAGAGGACCAGGUUGGUGCAGCGAGGACCAAAUUGGGGGCGGCGGCGGCGGCAGCGGCAGCCAGGCUGGGGCGGCGGCGAUCAAAUUGGGAGCAGUGGCGACCAAAUUGGGUAAGAACGACGUGGAAGAGACUGGCGAAGGAGGAGGAGGUGGAGGGCGGAGGAGGAGGUGGCCGGACUAGCAGCUGGAGGAGGUGGAGGGCGGAGGAGGAGGUGGCCGGCCUGGCAGAGGAAGACGACGACUCUCGUUUUCAGAUCAGGGGUAUUUUUGUACUUUUGCUUGUUUUCACCUGGUCGGAAAAAAACCCCAGCGACAACUAUUUCGGAACGGAGGGAGUAGCACUAAGACGUUGUGUGACCAAAAAUAAUUACUACACAUAUUUUUCAGCAUUUCCAGCAAGUGCGUAGGUAUCACUGGCUGCAUUUGUGUGCAUUUGGUUCGUAAACAUCUCUAUUGUUAAAAGGGAGUCUGUUUGGUUGCUCGCAUUAAACUCUGUCAGGC
rnacentral:rRNA from 1 species